CGGCGAGUGAAGCGGCAACAGCUCAAAUUUGAAAUCUGGCGUCUUCGGCGUCCGAGUUGUAAUUUGCAGAGGGCGCUUUGGCAUUGGCAGCGGUCCAAGUUCCUUGGAACAGGACGUCACAGAGGGUGAGAAUCCCGUACGUGGUCGCUAGCCUUUACCGUGUAAAGCCCCUUCGACGAGUCGAGUUGUUUGGGAAUGCAGCUCUAAAUGGGAGGUAAAUUUCUUCUAAAGCUAAAUACUGGCCAGAGACCGAUAGCGCACAAGUAGAGUGAUCGAAAGAUGAAAAGCACUUUGGAAAGAGAGUUAAAAAGCACGUGAAAUUGUUGAAAGGGAAGCGCUUGCAGCCAGACUUGCCUGUAGUUGCUCAUCCGGGUUUCUACCCGGUGCACUCUUCUAUAGGCAGGCCAGCAUCAGUUUGGGCGGUUGGAUAAAGGUCUCUGUCAUGUACCUCUCUUCGGGGAGAACUUAUAGGGGAGACGACAUGCAACCAGCCUGGACUGAGGUCCGCGCAUCUGCUAGGAUGCUGGCGUAAUGGCUGUAAGCGGCCCGUCUUGAAACACGGACCAAGGAGUCUAACAUCUAUGCGAGUGUUUGGGUGUCAAGCCCGAGCGCGUAAUGAAAGUGAACGGAGGUGGGAACCUUUCGGGGUGCACCAUCGACCGAUCCUGAUGUCUUCGGAUGGAUUUGAGUAAGAGCAUA
rnacentral:rRNA from 1 species